GUUUUAAUAGUUUAAACAAAAACACUGGUCUUGUAAACCAAAAUUAAGUCAAGCUUUUAAAACU
rnacentral:tRNA from 1 species